UGGGGAAUCUUGCGCAAUGGGCGAAAGCCUGACGCAGCAACGCCGCGUGAGCGAAGAAGGCCUUCGGGUUGUAAAGCUCUGUCAGGGGGAAAGAAGGCACCUGGGUUAAUAGCCCAAGGGCUGACGGUACCCCCAGAGGAAGCCACGGCUAACUACGUGCCAGCAGCCGCGGUAAUACGUAGGUGGCGAGCGUUGUCCGGAAUCAUUGGGCGUAAAGAGCGCGUAGGUGGCUUGUCAGGUCUGAUGUGAAAACCUGGGGCUCAACCCCAGGCCUGCAUCGGAAACCGGCUUGCUAGAGUCUGGGAGAGGAGAGUGGAAUUCCUGGUGUAGCGGUGAGAUGCGUAGAUAUCAGGAGGAACACCGGUAGCGAAGGCGGCUCUCUGGAACAGUACUGACGCUGAGGCGCGAAAGCUAGGGG
rnacentral:rRNA from 1 species